CCUUCUGCAUCCUUAACUGAGAAUGAGGUCUCGGACAGCCCGGGAGACGAGCCCUCGGAGUCCCCAUACGAAAGUGCAGACGAAACACAAACUGAAGUAUCUGUCUCAUCCAAAAAGUCUGAGCGAGGAGUGACUGCCAAAAAGGAGUAUGUGUGCCAGGGAUUCACUCAUGUUUCGUGUGUAAAGAGAGCAAGACAGAUGUUAAGCGCUGUGUGGUAACUCAGUGUGGAAAAUUUUACCAUGAGGCUUGUGUGAAAAAAUACCCUCUGACUGUAUUUGAGAGCCGAGGUUUCCGCUGCCCCCUCCACAGCUGUGUGAGCUGCCAUGCUUCCAACCCUUCAAACCCAAGGCCGUCAAAAGGUAAAAUGAUGCGGUGUGUCCGCUGCCCCGUUGCCUAUCACAGCGGGGAUGCUUGUCUGGC
rnacentral:lncRNA from 1 species